rnacentral:rRNA from 1 species
UACAGAGGUCUCAAGCGUUGUUCGGAUUCACUGGGCGUAAAGGGUGCGCAGGUGGUCGGGUAAGUCUGACGUGAAAUCCCGCAGCUUAACUGCGGAAUGGCAUUGGAUACUAUUCGGCUAGAGGGUUGGAGGGGGGACUGGAAUUCUCGGUGUAGCAGUGAAAUGCGUAGAUAUCGAGAGGAACACCAGUGGCGAAGGCGAGUCCCUGGACAACUCCUGACGCUGAGGCACGAAAGCUAGGGGAGCAAACAGG